rnacentral:rRNA from 1 species
GUAGCCUUUAAAGUUUCGUUGUAGCAGACCUAGCCUGAAAAGCUUGAAUCUAUAGCCCAAAAGUUUACACGUCCGGUUAGCCUUUAAAGCUUCGUUGUAGAUGAGUCUGCGUCUUAUUAGCUAGUUGGUAGGGUAAGAGCCUACCAAGGCUAUGAUAAGUAACCGGCCUGAGAGGGUGAACGGUCACACUGGAACUGAGAUACGGUCCAGACUCCUACGGGAGCCA